AGUUUUAAGGAGGCAGGAAUGAAGGGGUGUGGUGUAAAGAAGAGAGAGGAUAUAACUCAACAUGUAUACGUUUGUUAGACAAGAGCGACAUGUAAAUGUUUCACCGCAGAGAUGUUAGUUUUGUAAUUUUGCUGUGAAACCAGUUUAUUGUGUGAUUUCACAUAUCUACAUUUAGGUUUACUUUCUAGAAUGCCUCCAGCUCUGUACACAUUUGGAUUUGUACUCAUGGUCCUUACAAGAAAAGUGGAGAGUGUUACCUUUGAACAGUCGUCUGCUCAAGUUGUGAACACAGGAACUAAGGAGCUCAGGAUUAACUGCAGGCAUGAUGGCAGCAACUUACAAGUAAUGCUGUGGUACCAGCACAAGCAGAGUGAUCAGGCGAUGAGCCUCAUUGGGUUCACAGUGCUUAUGGGUGAACCAAACUAUGAGAGCCAGUUCACAGACCGGUUUCAGAUAAAAAGAGACGACACAGUGAAAGGCUCUCUGAUCAUCAAAAACCUUAAUCUGUCAGACUCAGCUGUGUAUUUCUGUGCUGCCAGCACACAGUGACGUGUUUCAUGUCCCCGCUAUACUAAAAACCUCUGAUAGAAAACUAAUGACAACGGCACACUGUUUUUUCUUUUUGGAUGUUGAAACUUUCAGAAAUGGGUUCAGGCUUCAGCAUGAGCAGCUACACCAUGUUCUGGUACAGACAGAACCACCAUGGAGCUCCAAUCGAGUUCCUUAUGAGGGAAUAUGAAAAACCUGUGGGACGCUUAGAGUCAUUUAUCGAUACAUCCAAAAACAACUUCCCUGUACAAAUAACUGAGCUGUAUAUCAAUGACAGCAGCACCUACUACUGUGCUGCCAGUCACAGUGAUACACACAGACCAGACACUCAUACACAUAACCAGCGAGUAUGACAAACAAACCAGGCUUGUUUGGUUGUGAAUGUCCUGGUGGAAAUAUAAGACAGAACAUCUUCAGAUCUAUGUAGAAUUAGGCAGAUAUGCUAGCACAAUUACAUUAAUUUAAUUUUAAUAUCGGAAUAAUGAUAAUAACUAAUAUCAAAUUUGUCUUGCAAAAGUAAUAAGCAUACAGAAGCAGAUUAAAGUCAUGUGCUUCUGGUGUACACCAAAAGAGAUUAAACCACGCAGUAUUUUUGGAGGUAAUAACUUUGUUUAUAAAUCCAAGUUUUGCAUCACCAUCUGCCCUCACUCUGUAUGGAGGUGCAUAAUUCAUUUAAUACGGGACAAAGACAUUGGGUUUGAAGGUUUUACUGGGUAUAAAAUUAUGAAAAGAGCAUGCAAUAAACUGACUGAUCAUAAAUAAAAGUAUCAAA